GGGGAAGAUCAGCUGGGAAGAGCUCUGGCGAAUGGCUAUUCGAGGUCGGACCAUCAGUACCCUAGACAGUGUCACAUCUCAUCGUUAUCAUCAUCAUCACUAUCAUCAUCAAUUGGUCUGUGUAAUGAGAUGAGGAAUGAAGGAAGGAAAAGAGAGGUGGGAAGAGGCAGUGGAAUGGCAGCACCUCAUUCCAGACAAAUGGAUGGCAUUAUCACUUUCCCUGUCUGGCCUUAGAGAUGAGCCCCAUCCAUAUAUAAAGACGCCAGCUACCCCCCGAAGAUUUGGAGAGCAAGAGAAAGGACCCAAGGUUUCAAUCCCCACAGCACUGCCAGGUAUUUUAUUCAAUUAUUCGAAAAGAUAAUUCAAAAAGA
rnacentral:lncRNA from 1 species